rnacentral:rRNA from 1 species
UACGUAGGGGACAAGCGUUGUCCGGAAUUAUUGGGCGUAAAGGGAGCGCAGGCGGUUGGAAAAGUCUGAUGUGAAAGCCCCCGGCUUAACCGUGGAAGGUCAUUGGAAACUGUCAAACUUGAGUGCAGUAGAGGUGAGUGGAAUUCCAGGUGUAGCGGUGAAAUGCGUAGAUAUAUGGAGGAACACCAGUGGCGAAGGCGACUUACUGGUCUGUGAUUGACGCUGAGGCUCGAAAGCGUGGGGAGCGAACAGG